UACGUAGGGGGCAAGCGUUGUCCGGAUUUAUUGGGCGUAAAGAGCGUGUAGGCGGCCAUACAGGUCCGUUGUGAAAACUGGAGGCUUAACCUCCAGACGUCGAUGGAAACCGUAUGGCUAGAGUCCGGAAGAGGAGAGUGGAAUUCCUGGUGUAGCGGUGAAAUGCGCAGAUAUCAGGAAGAACACCCGUGGCGAAGGCGGCUCUCUGGGACGGUACUGACGCUGAGACGCGAAAGCUAGGGUAGCGAACGGG
rnacentral:rRNA from 1 species